GCCUGACCUGAGUGUUCUGGAGGUGCAUACCUCCUGUUCUCCAGCCGAAAAUAAGCGCAGUGGAGCUUCACAGUCAUGCCAAGAAUGCACGCACUGGCUGUGACCAUUCACUUCAUGAUACUCAUGUUGGCUGGAUGUCAAGACGUCCAGGUGAACUGUCUGUUCUCAGAGGAAUGCCUACUGCCCUGUAGUUUCACAAUAUCAGAGGAGGAGGUCAUUCACUGGAAGAGGCAAGACAUAAAUGUCCACAGCUUCUACUAUGGAACAGACCAGCUGCAAGUCCAGAACAGUCAAUACAAUGGGCGGACCUAUCUCUUCAAAGACCUCAUCGCCCAGGGAAAUGCCUCACUCCUGCUGCAAAGGACCAAAAUUUCAGACGAGGGACAGUACAGCUGCUACACUAGCACAACACAGGGAUCAAGGGAGGUCUUCAUCAGUGUAAACG